GCCUCGGUGGCUUAGUUGGUUAAAGCGUGAGUCUCAUAAUCUCAAGGUCGUGGGUUCGACUCCCUCCUGAGGCA
rfam:Lipomyces starkeyi NRRL Y-11557 unplaced genomic scaffold LIPSTscaffold_5, whole genome shotgun sequence.